rnacentral:rRNA from 1 species
GAUGAACGCUGGCGGCGUGCCUAAUACAUGCAAGUCGAGCGAACGGACGAGAAGCUUGCUUCUCUGAUGUUAGCGGCGGACGGGUGAGUAACACGUGGAUAACCUACCUAUAAGACCGGGAUAACUUCGGGAAACCGGAUCUAAUACCGGAUGAUAUUUUGAACCGCAUGGUUCAAAAGUGAAAGACGGUCUUGCUGUCACUUAUAGAUGGAUCCGCGCUGCAUUAGCUAGUUGGUAAGGUAACGGCUUACCAAGGCAACGAUGCAUAGCCGACCUGAGAGGGUGAUCGGCCACACUGGAACUGAGACACGGUCCAGACUCCUACGGGAGGCAGCAGUAGGGAAUCUUCCGCAAUGGGCGAAAGCCUGACGGAGCAACGCCGCGUGAGUGAUGAAGGUCUUCGGAUCGUAAAACUCUGUUAUUAGGGAAGAACAUAUGUGUAAGUAACUGUGCACAUCUUGACGGUACCUAAUCAGAAAGCCACGGCUAACUACGUG